rnacentral:misc_RNA from 1 species
GGGUAAAUACAUUCUUCAUUU